UGAGGUUUGGUAAAUUCAAAGGUAAAAAUAGAAUUUUAAAAUUCUCAACUCACAAAAUUUCUUUGAAUUGAUUGCUGAAAAAAAUAAAAUAAAAUUCUUUGAAUUGCAGAAGACCUCGGAGCAGAACUCUAACCGAGUUGAAGACUCGGAGCAGAACUCACUCCACAUGAAGAUUCUUCACUCCGGCGAAGUCACCGUCAACUUGAACCCCCUCUCCUCCACCUGCUUCUCUAACGCAGUUUCAGGUUCCAUUUGCACUUUGAUUCAACAAUUUUUCAUUUUAGGUUUUUUGGUGUUUGAAUAUUGCGAUACUCUUGUAAUUGAUUAAUCAAAUAUAUCUAACUGCAUAAUCAUUAGGUAAUUCACAUUUCGUGAGUGCACUUUCUUUCAUCAUUUUUACACAUUUUGCAUCUUACGCUUAGCAAUAUUAUAGCUUACAUUGGAUAUGUACAAAUUACUUAAGCGCUUAUCAUAUAAAUGCUUAUUGUAUAAUCUGUUUUCAUAGUUAUUUUGGAGUGCUUAUGAAAAUAAGCUGAAAACAACUUAUGGACAUGUCAUAAAUUGUUUCCAUAAGCUCUCUCAAACUAUUUCACAAGUGCUUAUUGUCAGUAGAUAAGUUUAAAUAAGUCAAUCCAAUCAGACGCCAAGUUAUGUUGACGAGCUUUGCGAACUAAACAAUUUCACCAUGGCUUCAAAUUGUUUAACAGUAAAAUGAUUCUCAAUUUGUUUGUAAAUAUUUUCAACAAGAAUGGCUAGAGUUACACAAUUAUUAUGCGGUUGUAUGAAAGAANNNNNNNNNNNNNNNNNNNNNNNNNNNNNNNNNNNNNNNNNNNNNNNNNNNNNNNNNNNNNNNNNNNNNNNNNNNNNNNNUUUAAAUCAGUGAUACAAUAGGUAGAAACAAGUAUGUUAUCCUCAAUUAAACUGUAAGUUAUGGAAUAAUACACAUGAAUAAUAGUGAAACACUGAAACUUAUAUUUAUCACCUUUUACACUUCUAUGAUACUUACAUGUGUAUAGCUCACGCUUCACAUUUUAAAAUAAAUUCUUGGUCUGUCAUGUAAUUGAUUAAUAUAGGAACUUCAGUUGCAAAAAAGGAGAUUUUUGGAGGGAGCUAUUAAAAGCUUGGAUUUCUAACACAUCGAAGACCUAAGGUACAUUUUGUUUCCAAUAGUUUUUCUCCCCUGUUAAUAGUUAUAUAUAGUUUGCUCAUUUACUAUCUCAUAUGCAAUGAAUAAUGAUGCAUAUUGUGGGGAAUAUGGUGGUGUGCUUUGUCUUGCUGACAUGAUUGAUAGUUUUUAAAUAGAAGCAAGAACUAAUUAGAUGGUAAAAAAAAUGAAUAUAAUUCUCAUCGAUAUACUUAUUAUUCCAAACACAACAGGGUACAAUACAAAAAAUCCACAAUAAAAAGAAAAGCUAUCAUACACAAAAAUUAAUCUAUGCACAUAUAAAUCAAAGAGAUCACAAAUAAAUUAAUCUCGCUUCCACUUUUUGAUUUGUCGGUCACAUGAGUACAGUAGGAUUCGGAAGUUCAAGAUGGCCAUUGAAUAAAUAAACUCCAUCUCAUCUAGAUCACGAAUAUCGUAGCUCAAUGAUGGGAAGUUCACACUUUUUUCGAAUAAUUUGGACAAGAAGCUAGAUG
rnacentral:lncRNA from 1 species